AAUGAUAUCUGUCGUGAGAAACAGGAUUGUGAAAGCAUCGUGAAGGGACGAAUGGAUAACAUGGCAAAAUAUAUAGUAAUGCUAAUUAGCAUCAUGUUUUCCGGCUAGAAGAAAUUUUAAGUGAUUGCCUUGAAAUCGUGAGUCCUUUGUGAAUUGUGAGUGUGUUCAUUUGUAUAGUAGUUGAAAAUUCUCAACUGAUUUUGUAACUGUAAACCAGCAAACAAAGAUAGCAGAUAAAUGUUUGUGUUUAUACAGGAAAGAAAACUAGUGCGAGCAGAGAAGAAAUUGUUGUGAAUUCUGAUUACUCCUUAGUCCUUCCUAGGGCAGUGACAAGCAAUUCCCCGUCGUGGAAAUUUCAAGUGCUCUUUAGUUUCAGAGAAGAAGAAACUUGCAACAAAUUCACUGAUCACCUCUACACAACAUUUAAAGGAAGUGGCUUAACCGUUUUCACAGACGACAAAAAACUUCAGAGAGGGGAAGUUUUCUGUCAUGGUGGUUCUGUCUCCUGACUCCACUUCUUUGCGGUGGUGCUUGUAUGAGCUACUUUACAUCCUCUGAUUUCAAAUCCAAUUCAUUCGUUAUGUUUGCCCUGUCUUCUACGAUGUGGAUCCCACCUAUGUGAGGCACCAGCAAGGGUCUUUUGCACAGGAAGUGGAGGGAGGCCUUGAAAGAGGUUGCAGACCUGUCUGCUGGAGCUCCAAGGCUUCAGAAUGUACAAGUCAUUGGCGAGAUACGGAUGGCGAACUGCUUUGUCUUUUAGGUUCAUUGCUUGAAGGACUGUGUACUGUACUGAAGUCGCAUGCUGAGUAUACUGAGCCUCUAGGUCGCCAUAGGCUGCGAUACCAUUACGUAGGCUUGAAACAGAACCUGUUGGAGGAUUUUUCGCAAAGGAAUGGAAAAGGUUACAACCCAAAUUUGUCUCACUAUGACUGUAAACUGGUUGGAAUUGAUUCAAGGAUAAACAACAUGUGUGCACUUUUAAGGACAGAAUCUUAGGAAAUUUGCUUUUGCGGGUAUUUGAAGACCAAUAUGAGAAUUUCCAAAUAUCUACAUCAAACUUCAGAUUUCACUGGAAUUCCAAAUCUUGAAAGGUUGGAUCUUCAAGGCUGCAUGUGUGACAUUAAAAAGAAGAUUGCAAAAUCUUAAAUUUGGUCCCUUUAAUUGGUUCAUUCUCUCAGAGAGGUGAUGCUUGUGUAGAUCUAUUAUCAAGACUAGCAUGAGGUCUAUUCCUUCCAUGCUUAUCCUGCAUGUUCAACUUCCUUGCAUGUUAGGGCACGCUUGGGAGAGGACCACAGUGGUUCACAGUAAGAGGCUUUUGAAUACCGAAGCACACAAUCUAAUGAAAGUAGAGGGUCUAGAUUUUGUUUGGUAUUUGUGCAAUUCCUUGUUUUUACUGAAAUUUGAAUUUUUAUAUUAUUUUUGUUGUGUGUGAGUGUCCUCUACGCUUAACUGCAAAGAUCAAAUUGGGUUGAAUUGUAACGGGUGACAAAAAUAAUAUACUAAGAAGUUACCCUUUGUAGUUUAGUAUACAAAUGUUAAGAUA